rnacentral:rRNA from 1 species
GACGAACGCUGGCGGCGUGCUUAACACAUGCAAGUCGAACGGAAAGGCCCUUCGGGGUACUCGAGUGGCGAACGGGUGAGUAACACGUGGGUGAUCUGCCCUGCACUUUGGGAUAAGCCUGGGAAACUGGGUCUAAUACCGAAUAGGACCACGCGCUUCAUGGUGUGUGGUGGAAAGCUUUUGCGGUGUGGGAUGGGCCCGCGGCCUAUCAGCUUGUUGGUGGGGUAAUGGCCUACCAAGGCGACGACGGGUAGCCGGCCUGAGAGGGUGACCGGCCACACUGGGACUGAGAUACGGCCCAGCCUCCUACGGGAGGCAGCAGUGGGGAAUAUUGCACAAUGGGCGCAAGCCUGAUGCAGCGACGCCGCGUGAGGGAUGACGGCCUUCGGGUUGUAAACCUCUUUCACCAGGGACGAAGCGUAAGUGACGGUACCUGGAGAAGAAGCACCGGCCAACUACGUG